CAAGACAGAGGGCUUUCUUCCUCCUCCAGCCCGAGCCAGUCCACCACAAAGACAGAGAGCUGAGCUUCACCUACUCUCCGGUGGUGCCGAAGCAAGGGAGGUGCUGCCCGAAUUUUUUCCCCUCAUUUUCGUGGAAAUUUCACUCAGCCAACACAAGUGUUGUGAAUGUUUGCUACUUCAUCCUCGUGUUACGCUUUGAUUUAUGCUUUGGAGAUGGAUAGUUUAUUUGUUAGAAUGUGAUGAAGUAGAAAAUGGAGAGGUAUUUUGAGCUAAAAUGUGAGGGAGAUUGAUGUG
rnacentral:lncRNA from 1 species